CGGGUGAGUAACAGGUGGAAAACCUGCCCUAUAAUGGGGGAUAACAGUUCUAACGAACUGCUAAUACCGCAUACGACCUUUGGAUCGCAUGUUCCGAAGGUGAAAGGUGGCCUCUCUUUGAAGCUGCCGUUAUAGGAUGGUUCCGCCUCCCAUUAGCUUGUUGGUGGGGUAAUGGCCUACCAAGGCGACGAUGGGUAGCCGGCCUGAGAGGGUGUCCGGCCACACUGGGACUGAGAUACGGCCCAG
rnacentral:rRNA from 1 species